GUCAGCAUGGCGUAGUGGUUUGAGUGCUGGACUAUGACACUAGAGAUCAGGGUUCGAUUCUGUAUUCAGCCA